AAACAUCUCCACAGCAGCCUCGUUUAGAACCCUGAACUACACUGUGAUUUGCCAUGAGUCGACCUGAGGAACAUGGAUCUAAAAUGAACCUUCUCUGUCCUGGACCUAUGGACUGGUUCUAUCUGUGUCUGCAUCAUGGCUCCACAUGGAGAAGAACUGAACACAGGAAGAGAAACAUCUGAGGAGUCAUAGUUCCACUGAUCAGGAGGUCUAUAAGGAGUCAUAGUUCCACUAAUCAGGAGGUCUAGAAGGAGUCAUAGUUCCACUAAUCAGGAGGUCUAGAAGGAGUCAUAGUUCCACUAAUCAGGAGGUCUAGAAGGAGUCAUAGUUCCACUGAUCAGGAGGUCUAUAAGGAGUCAUAGUUCCACUAAUCAGGAGGUCUAGAAGGAGUCAUAGUUCCACUAAUCAGGAGGUCUAGAAGGAGUCAUAGUUCCACUAAUCAGGAGGUCUAGAAGGAGUCAUAGUUCCACUAAUCAGGAGGUCUAGAAGGAGUCAUAGUUCCACUAAUCAGGAGGUCUAGAAGGAGUCAUAGUACCACUAAUCAGGAGGUCUAGAAGGAGUCAUAGUUCCACUAAUCAGGAGGUCUAGAAGGAGUCAUAGUUCCACUAAUCAGGAGGUCUAGAAGGAGUCAUAGUUCCACUAAUCAGGAGGUCUAGAAGGAGUCAUAGUACCACUAAUCAGGAGGUCUAGAAGGAGUCAUAGUACCACUAAUCAGGAGGUCUAGAAGGUCC